UUCUUUCUCAAAACAUUCUCAGAUCUGAGAUUUUUAGGAGAGACAAACAGGCGAUUUUUGAAAAAAAAAUAGGAUUCUUUACCUGCGGAUUUGCAUUUUCUUCUCAAAUCUAUCAUUCCUUAUCUCUGACAUUGUUGUUGUUUCAUCGUAGUCUAAGUUUACAAUUGAUUUUUUGUCGCAGGGUGGAUAAUUUUUCCGACGAAACUAAAGAAUUUGUAAGUAGAUAUGGUAAAGAAUAAGAGAAAGGGAGAGGUUGUUGACUCGAAGUUGGUAUAGAGAUUUCUUCUCGAUGAUAUAAGAUGGUAGCUUGCUUUCGAUAUGCAUCGAUUGAUGUUCAUUUCGUGCUUUCGGUAUGCCUCAAUAUGCUACGGGAAUCCAUAAUGGUUACAGAAAGAGUUCAAUCAGCUGGUCGACAUGGCUGAACUUCUAUUUACUGAAGUAUUUAAUGCUCUACAACAUAUUGCAAUAAAAAUAAUAGGCACCAUUUCAGUAAAAGUAACAGAAUCAAGAUGUCACAUUGGAGAUCUCAAAGAGCUACUUCAGAUGGAGAAAGUAGAAUUCAAGCAUAAGAUACAUGAGAAAACCAGAUCGUGGAUAAGAUUUGAAGUAACAGAACUUCUUAAGAAGGAAAAGGCCAGUAUUCUUCGAGGUCAUUAGAAAACAAAAUAGGCCAUCCCUUGAUGCUGAAGCUGCUUGAACCCCACUUGCAAGAUGAUACUGAAAUGGUUGUCAAAAUUUUAUGGAGGACACUUCUCAUACUAAUAAAAAUAUUACAGACGAGGUGCAGUGAUAAAUUAUUGUUUAAAGGACUGUAGGAGAGAGAAUGUUCAGAUGAUUUUAAAGCACAAGAACUUCUUCAUUUGGGACUCAUAAGCUCAAAAUGGUAGAGCGCCCAAGCCUAUCACAAAGUCUGCAGAGAUUGAUGGUUCAAAUCCAUUUGAGUUUCCAUGUUAUGCUUAUUUAAUAUAGACAGCAUACUGGUUCUUAAAUAGACGAUCGAAGUUGUAUAUAGUGUACAAACUGGUGCACUUUGUCUUGUCUUUGGAUUCUUUUGAUUUUUGUAGAUGUGUACAUUUUAGUACAUCAAUGUAAACUAAAAAUUUUAAGAGAUGA